rnacentral:rRNA from 1 species
GUGGGGAAUAUUGGACAAUGGGCGAAAGCCUGAUCCAGCCAUGCCGCGUGUGUGAAGAAGGUCUUCGGAUUGUAAAGCACUUUAAGUUGGGAGGAAGGGUAGUAACCUAAUACGUUGCUACUUUGACGUUACCGACAGAAUAAGCACCGGCUAACUUCGUGCCAGCAGCCGCGGUAAUACGAAGGGUGCAAGCGUUAAUCGGAAUUACUGGGCGUAAAGCGCGCGUAGGUGGUUCAGUAAGUUGGAAGUGAAAUCCCCGGGCUCAACCUGGGAACUGCUUUCAAAACUGCUGAGCUAGAGUACAGUAGAGGGUGGUGGAAUUUCCUGUGUAGCGGUGAAAUGCGUAGAUAUAGGAAGGAACACCAGUGGCGAAGGCGACCACCUGGACUGAUACUGACACUGAGGUGCGAAAGCGUGGGGAGCAAACAGGAUUAGAUACCCCAGUAGUCC